rnacentral:misc_RNA from 1 species
GAAAUGCGAUAAGUAGUGUGAAUUGCAGAAUUCAGUGAAUCAUCGAAUCUUUGAACGCACAUUGCGCCCCUUGGUAUUCCAUGGGGCAUGCCUGUUCGAGCGUCAUUUGUACCCUCAAGCUCUGCUUGGUGUUGGGUGUUUGUCCCCGUCUCCGCGCGUGGACUCGCCCCAAAGUGAUUGGCAGCCGGCGUACUGGUCCCGGAGCGCAGCACAUGUCGCGCAAACGAGUGCCUUGGUACGGCGGCGUCCAGCAAGCUAUAUUUUCAGGCUUGACCUCGGAUCAGGUAGGGAUACCCGCUGAACUUAAGC